rnacentral:rRNA from 1 species
UACGUAGGGUGCGAGCGUUGUCCGGAAUUAUUGGGCGUAAAGAGCUCGUAGGCGGUCUGUCACGUCGGAUGUGAAAGCCCGGGGCUUAACCCCGGGUCUGCAUUCGAUACGGGCAGACUAGAGUUCGGUAGGGGAGAUCGGAAUUCCUGGUGUAGCGGUGAAAUGCGCAGAUAUCAGGAGGAACACCGGUGGCGAAGGCGGGUCUCUGGGCCGUAACUGACGCUGAGGAGCGAAAGCAUGGGGAGCGAACAGG